AGCGAACGCUGGCGGCAGGCCUAACACAUGCAAGUCGAACGGAUCCUUCGGGAUUAGUGGCGGACGGGUGAGUAACACGUCGGAACGUGCCCUUUGGUUCGGAACAACUCAGGGAAGCUUGAGCUAAUACCGGAUGUGCCCUUCGGGGGAAAGAUUUGUCGCCAUUGGAGCGGCCCGCGUCUGAUUAGCUAGUUGGUGAGGUAAAGGCUCACCAAGGCGACGAUCAGUAGCUGGUCUGAGAGGAUGAUCAGCCACAUUGGGACUGAGACACGGCCCAAACUCCUACGGGGGGCAGCAGUGGGGAAUCUUACGCAAUGGGCGAAAGCCUGACGCAGCCAUGCCGCGGGAAUGAUGAAGGUCUUAGGAUUGUAAAAUUCUUUCACCGGGGACGAUAAUGACGGUACCCGGAGAAGAAGCCCCGGCUAACUUCGUGCCAGCCGCCGCCGUAACAC
rnacentral:rRNA from 1 species